GACAGAGGUGCCAAGCGUUAGGCGGAAUCACUGGGCUUAAAGCGUGUGUAGGCGGAAUGGUAAGUACCUUGUGAAAUCCCACGGCUCAACCGUGGAACUGCUCGGUAUACUGCUUUUCUUGAGCCACUUAGGGGCUGUCGGAACAAACGGUGGAGCGGUGAAAUGCGUAGAUAUCGUAAGGAAGACCAGUGGCGAAGGCGGGUCUCUGGACAGUUCCUGACGCUGAGGCACGAAGGCCAGGGGAGUAAACGGG
rnacentral:rRNA from 1 species